UCAUUGCAGAUUUCAUCCACUUCAGACAUGUUUCGUGUGUGGAUCAAACUUUGUCUCCUCUUGCCAGGGGUAAGUAGCUUCAUGAUCCACAACACCCUCCACAGCCUGUGCUUGGAGGACUUCCCCAAGACGGGCCUGGUUCAGCUGAAUAAAUGCAACCUGGACUCAGUUCUCCAGCAGUGGAUCUGGAGGGACCAGAGUCUCCUGGAGAGUGUGGGGACCUCCAGGUGCCUGUCGGCCCACCACUCUGACCCUGUCCAGACUGUACCCUGUGAGGGGGUAGAGGAUGGGGGACACAGGGGUGAUGGGGGGCUGCGGUGGGGGUGUGAGUUGAACAGGCUGAUCAGUCAGAACAGUUCUCUGGAGCUCUCCACAGACGGGAAACGACUGACGCUGUCCCACAGGAGCAAGCAGACCAAGUGGAGGUCUCUGGAUGAAGGGGAUAUAUGCCAGGAGAGGCUCAGAUCCAAAAGGGCAUCGAGCGAUCCCGAUGAGUUUGAGGUGAAACCUGCGGAAGAGCAGAAAGCGGGGCCUCCUGGUAUGACCGAUGAACAGAAAGAAUUCCUCAGAUGGUUCUAUCGCACCGAGGACCCAACUCCCUGGAAGUUUGCGAUGCUGGCUCUGUCCUUCGCUGCCCUUCUGCUGGGCUGUCUGCUUCUGGGAAUGGGCUCCAUGGCGAACAAAAACCGGAAUAAGAUAGCCAAGUACAAGGCGGCGGCUCUGGCCAUGAAGCCGGAGGCAGAAGAACUACAGGUCAUCGUCACGGAAGUUGGAGGUCAAAGAACUAACUCCGUCAACAGUGCCUAUGUCCAGGUCAGUAUGAGCCCAUCUGAGAUCCCAGUGAGCCAGGCCAAGCCCCUCCAGGACAACGGGGAGGUAGAGGGGCUCAAACCGGGGGACAUUGUGGUGACCUGGAAUGACGGGAACGUGUCCAGCCUGUACCCCGAGCCUGAGGGGGAAGUGGAGGUGUUGGCGGAGGUAGAGAAAGAGGAGGUGUUGAAGAAAGAGGAGGUGGUUGAGGUAGAGAAAGAGGAGGCAGAAGAGGGAGUGGUGGUAGAGGGAUGA
ensembl:lncRNA